GACGAACGCUGGCGGCGUGCCUAAUACAUGCAAGUUGAGCGAUGAAGAUUGGUGCUUGCCCCAAUUUGAAGAGCAGCGAACGGGUGAGUAACGCGUGGGGAAUCUGCCUUUGAGCGGGGGACAACAUUUGGAAACGAAUGCUAAUACCGCAUAACAACUUUAACCAUAAGUUUUAAGUUUGAAAGAUGCAAUUGCAUCACUCAAAGAUGAUCCCGCGUUGUCUUAGCUAGUUGGUGAGGUAAAGGCUCACCAAGGCGAUGAUACAAAGCCGACCUGGGGGGGGGACGGCCCACUUGGGACCGGGACCAGGCCCAAAACCCCUAGGGGGGGCGCAGUAGGGGAUCUUCGGGAAUGGGCGAAAGUCUGGACGGGGAACGGCGGGGGAGUGAAGAAGGUUUUCGGGACGGAAAACUCUGUUGGUAGGGAAGAAAGUAGGUGGGAGGGGAAAGCGCAUGAAGUGACGGUAACUACCCAGAAAGGGACGGCUAACUACGUG
rnacentral:rRNA from 1 species